ensembl:snoRNA
AAGACUAUACUUUCAGGGAUCAUUUCUAUAGUUCCUAACUCGAGAAAUGUGUUUCUAAAGUGUAUGGUCUCGCCAACCACGAUGAUGAGGUGGUGAUACUCCUUUCUGAGCGAGAAGCGGGUGGAGAGAUUUGAUUUAUAUCAUAUGUUCUCUGCUUUUGAUGAUCGUUCACUGUCUCUUCUGGGGAUAAUGAGGAAAGGAGUAUGAUCAGAGUGGUA